UACGUAGGGCGCAAGCGUUUAUCCGGAAUUAUUGGGCGUAAAGGGCUCGUAGGCGGUUUGUCGCGUCGGGAGUGAAAGCCUUGGGCUUAACUCAGGGCUUGCUUUCGAUACGGGCAGACUAGAGGUAUGCAGGGGAGAACGGAAUUCCAGGUGUAGCGGUGAAAUGCGUAGAUAUCUGGAGGAACACCGGUGGCGAAGGCGGCAUCCUGGACCAAUACUGACGCUGAGGAGCGAAAGCCAGGGGAGCAAACGGG
rnacentral:rRNA from 1 species